CCCUUAGAUAUCCUAGGCUGCACGCGAGCUACAAUGGUAUAUAUAAAAGGUUGCUGCUCUGAGAAGACUGGCAAUACCCUGAUAUAUAUCGUAUUUGGAAUAGAUUUUUGUAAUUAUCAAUCUUGAACGAGGAAUUCCUAGUAAAAAUAUUUCAUCAUAAUGUUUUGAUUGUGUCCCUGCCCUUUGUACACACCGCCCGUCGCUCCUACCGAUUGAAUAUUCCGGUGAGAAGAUAGGAGAAAAAUCUUUUGAUUUUUUGAAUAUUUUUGAACCUUGAUAUUUAGAGGAAGGAGAAGUCGUANCA
rnacentral:rRNA from 1 species